UGGAGAUAAGUCAGCUAGGGGCUGGCACAUGCAGCUGUGGCCUGCAGGGAGCUCCUUCUUGUUCCAGGUUUUUCUUUAACCAGAGCAGCAGAACUUUAGUCAAAUGCCAUCCAUUGCAGUAACUGAUAGCUUAAAAAAAAAUGGUAAUUGUUAGCUUAAAAAAAACUUUCAUAAAUCUGGAGAGGAGAAAAGGAAACUUUAUUUUUUAUAAAGGAUUACAAUCUGUAAGGUGGCCAUUCUGCAGGCUGGAGUACGGCUCAGAAGCUUUGUAUAAUGCCCCUCAACUGGACUUUGUGUGAUGUUUUUCUUGUGAUUAGACCUGACUUAUGUGUUCUUGGGAGAAAGACCACUGAGGUAAAGUGCCAUUCGCUUCACAUCAUAUCAAGUGUACAUACAAUUAAGGUGACUUACCACUGUUGAUGUUAACCUUGAUUACCUGGCUGAGAUAGUUUUUGGUCACGUUUCUCCCCUGGAAAGUUAUUCUUUUUCCUCUUUUCACACUCUAUUCUUUGAAAGGAAAUCACUAUGCUUAGCCUACCCAUAAGGAGUGGGGAAUUAUGUUCCACCACUUUAAGAGCAGACUGUCUGUAAGAUUCUUUUGCAUAGUACAUUUGUCUAUUCUUCCCCCACUUAUUUAUUCUUAAUCAUUUAUAUUACUGUGAACUCAUGGGUAUUUAUUUAUUUCAUACUUUGGGUUAUAGUUCAAUGCUACUUAAUUUUUCUGCUCCAAUUGUUCCAGCUUUGGUCAUUGAUAGAUCUUUCAGCUGACUUCUGUGCCCCUUUGUCAUACCUCCAUAAUUUUUUGUUAACACUUCCUUCUAACACUACUCCAGCCUGAUCUUGUGUACUUUUGCCCCAAUCCUCAAAUCAGCAUCACUCUAAGAAACCCUGGUUCCUUUUUUUGGAGAAUAAUGUAAGAAACUUGGAGCCAGACAUAGGUAUGCUCUUUGCUACUGGAGUAUCAUUAAUUUUAGGGCUGAUGAAAAAUGAAAAUAUAUGUGUGUAUACCAACCUCUCUGUGUGUGUGUGUGUAUGUGUAUAUAUAUAUAUAUGUCAUCAUCAUAUCCCCAGAAAUCUAAAAUGUUGUUGUCUAGCUAGUUCCUAUACAGAAGAGAAGAUUUUGAACGUCCUCACUACAACAAAUGAUACAUGUUUAAGCUGGCACAGUGAAGGUUCUCAAUUCACAUUUGCUGUAUUCUUCAAUUGCACGAGUGAAUGAAUGAAUAAGUUCCUCAGAAACCUACUAUUAAAUUAUUGCUUUGAGUGAGACAGCCAACGCAUUUCAUACUGUGAACUGUGAAGUUGUUGCAGUUUCAGUGGAUUUUCAUUAUAACCAUCACGUCUAGAUACAUACACCAAAGAAAGCCAGUUUGGGCCAUACGAGCAUUGUACUCUUGUCAGACUUAAAUAAAUAGAUUUCCUGAGACUAUGAUGUGCCGGUAGGAGGUCCUGACCUUCCACUAACGGGUCUUUUCAUAAUAGAACCCCAGUGGAAAUCAUCAAGUAUAUGAGUGUCAAUGAUCUCCCAAUGGCUGAAGCAUGGAAGAGACUGCCUUCUUCGUGAAGGCAUGCCAGUUGGUGGAGAUCCACAGAGAAGUCUGCCUGGCAAAUAGAUAUUGAGUUCUCCUACAACCAAGCCAAAUCCCACUGCUUCCAAAAAAUACUUUGAGAAGAAAAGUCAGUAGAUCGUCUCAUAUGCACCUGCAACUUCUCGUGUCAGAAAAGAACUACAGGUAGAACCCACUUUUAUCAUUUCAAAGAUGAAUAUUUAUAGAAGGUGAUAAAUCUAAUACAUUGGUAUUCACAAAUAUUAUUAUAAAUGUAUAUUGCACAGCCUAGUAAAUCUAGUAAACAAUAAUAUAGUACAUUUCAAAAUUGCAAAGAAAUUAAAUUUCAAAUGUUUUCACCACAAAAAUGAUGUAUGUGAGAUGAUUGUUAUGUUAAUUCACUUGAUUUAAUUAUUCUAUAUUGCAUUCUUAGAUUAUAUGAUUAUAUCUUCUACCCCUUAAGUAUAUGCAAAUAUAAUUUGUCAAUUAUAAUUAUAUAACU